AAUGAUUUGUUUUUAUUUCAUCGGUGUUUUGCCUACAUGGAUAUGUGUGAGGGAUUUAGAUCCCCUCAGAUUGAAGUUGCAGACAGUUGUGAACACCCAUGUGGAUACUAAGAACUGAACUACGGUCCUCUGAAGAGCAGCUAGUACUCUUAACUGCUGAGCCAUCUCUCCAGCCCCUAGAAAAGAUUUCUUAACAUACAGCAAUGAGCCUGUUUAAAGAGCGUGAUGGCCCAGUCUAUACAUAUUUUAAGCCUAUGGGAUAGAUAAGGUAUGUCAGUUUCUAUACAGGGAGCAGUCUAGGCACCAAACACAUCUGGAGGUGAUCUGAGGCAAAGGAUACGACAGCCCACUUCAAAUACGUUGUUGGUGCCAAUAAUCAUAGGUUUGGGCUCUGUAUCUUCAGUAUCUGGGAUGAUGUUAUCCGGAUGACUAUAAAGAGAAGAGACGAGAAUCACCAAAGGCCAGUGACACAGUAAGCAGCUGUCAUCCCCUUUCAGAAUCUGAAUCAAGCCGGGCGUGGUGGCGCACGCCUUUAAUCCCAGCACUCGGGAGGCAGAGACAGGCAGAUGAUUGAGUUAGAGGCCAGCCUGGUCUACGAAGUGAGUUCCAGGACAGCCAGGGCUACAGAGAGAUCCUGUCUCAGAGAGAGAGAGAGAGAGAGAGAGAACUGGGACGGGGAAUCUAUCAGACCUCCUGGAGUUGACGCCACUGCGAGCUGCCCUGUGUGAGUGAAGAGACAGGAACUCAAGGACUCCACAAGGACAGCAAGAGGUGCUAACUGUCAAGCCACUUCUCUAGCCUUCCUUCAUUUCUUAAAUUCUAACUUCAGAGGACAUUUCCCAGUGUAGGGGAAUGCCAGGGUGGGAAGGCGGGAGUGGGUGGGUGGGGGAGCACCCUUAUAGAGGCAGGGGGGGGGGGGAUGGGAGAGGGGGUUUCUGGAGGGGAGACCUGGAGAAGGGAUCACAUUUGAAAUGU
ensembl:lincRNA Gm26768 predicted gene, 26768